rnacentral:rRNA from 1 species
UACGUAGGGGGCUAGCGUUGUCCGGAUUUAUUGGGCGUAAAGAGCGUGUAGGCGGCCAGGUAGGUCUGCUGUGAAAACUCGAGGCUCAACCUCGAGACGCCGAUGGAAACCCUCCAGCUAGAGUCCGGAAGAGGAGAGUGGAAUUCCUGGUGUAGCGGUGAAAUGCGCAGAUAUCAGGAAGAACACCCGUGGCUAAGGCGGCUCUCUGGGACGGUACUGACGCUGAGACGCGAAAGCGUGGGGAGCGAACAGG